UUUGGGCAGCUGAUGAUUCUCAUUGAUAUAAUGGGUAAUUUGCAUCUGAAAUAUUCAUUGAUGUUUUAUCAUCUUGGAGAACUGAUGCCCUUG
rnacentral:snoRNA from 3 species